AGCAUAGCGAUUUGGGAUAAGUCCCUUGGAAGAGGGCAGCAUGGAGGGUGAUACUCCCGUCUCUGCUCAGAUCUGUUGUGUGUACGAUACGCUUUCUUUGAGUCGAGUUGUUUGGGAAUACAGCUCAAAGCAGGUGGUAAAUUCCAUCUAAAGCUAAAUAUUGGUGCGAGACCGAUAGCGAACAAGUACCGUGAGGGAAAGAUGAAAAGAACUUUGAAAAGAGAGUUAAAGAGUACCUGAAACUGUUGAAGGGGAACCGUAUCGUUUCUAGUGUGUAUCCUAUGCAUAUUUCAUUGGCGGUUGUAAAAUUGCUGGUGCCCUGUGUAUGGGUGUGACGUCAGAGUCAGUUUGAAUUGCGGGAGAUGGGUAGUGAGGAGGUGCGUCACUUUUUGUGAAAGUUACAGCUCGCUAUCUAGUAGCCGUGGUUGAGACUGAGGUGCC
rnacentral:rRNA from 2 species